AAACAAACUCUCUUCUGGAAUUUGAUUUAGUAGGUUCUGUUUUUUAUGGAGUUUGCAAAGUUGAUCUUUUGGUCUCUGUUUCUAAAUACAUUUGACAUGUUCCUUUGAGCCCCAGGUGGGUUGGGAAUAGAAUAUUAAUGCUGUGGAUAUUCCACAGUUAUAUGAAUAUAUUACCCUUUUCCGAUUGAGGGAACUUUCAAAAAGAAGAAUUGCUUGAUUGAUUACCCUCCCAAAGUAUUCAGAGUAUUCGGGUUUUUUUGAAAACUAACAGCGUAAAAAUGUUAUAGUAAUAAUAAAUAUAGUGAAAAUAAAAGCAAGAAAAACGAUUGGAUUUGGAGCUCUUUUGCAUAGAUGGAAAUGUAGUCCUUUUUAAUCUUUAACUUAUCAUUUCUUUCACAAUUUAAAACUUCUUAAGAAACGAUUUUAUCUUGUGAACUUUACUUUAAAUAUUUUCAUAAUUGGGAAUAUUUUCUAAAGCGUCGCAUACUUCUCAUUUAUGCUUUCAAUUGUUGCAACAUUUGCAUUUUCAGUAUGAUGAGAUGUUCCCUUCACUAUUCAGUGAUCAUCCUAAUAUAUUUCCUCCACACCUGUCGACAUGGGCUAGUGAACUUUGGCACUGAAAUAGCAUGAAAGGUAUGUCCGUAGAUGGGAAGCUGAGAACUUGCUCAAUUCCGGUUGGUGGCUUCCUGAAACACUCAGUAUCUCUUCUCUCUCUCUCUUUAAUCAUUCUUAAACUUAAUCUUUAAUCUUAGAAUGCGAUUGAAUGAUUUCGUCAGUUGCUUGAAAGUAACUUGUUUACUAUUUGCAAAAUAAUAUGCACUCGUUAUAACUUUGACUUUAACUCAUAGAUAAUGGUUGAUCAAUAUUAUUUUUAAGAAAUGCAAUGCAAUUGGUAUUUUUAGGGUAACUUGAAUAAGCUAAUAAAUUUUUCAAGAUAAUUUACUUUUCUCUGUAUGGUUUGCUGGUUUUUCCUUUGGAUCAUGGCUAGUAGACAGAAUGAGUUGUGAUUGUUGCCAAAUAUAUGAUAUCAUCCUUGGACAUAUAUUUAAAAUUAGAUAGCUAGAAUUGCUAUUUUCAAAUAAGAUUAAGAAUUGAAUGUUGAUUAACUUUUAUGUAUUAAAACUGAUAGGUAUCGAGUAUUUAGUGACGAGCUAGUGAUGCAUUUAAAACUAGAUAGUUAGGAUUGCUUUUUUCAGAUAAGACUGGGAAUUUAUGUUGAUUGACUUUUAUGUACUAAAACUCAUAGGUAUUGAGUACUAGUGAUAGGCAAGAAAGUUUUUGUUUGAUUUUAGCUUUAACACAAUGGUCGGUUAGUAUUGUUCUAAGAUAUUCAAUGUAAUUGGUGUUUUAAGAUGAUUAGAAUCAUUCUGUAGUUUUUUUGGAGGUAGAUGACUUUCUUUUGUAUGGUUUACUGUUUUUUUUUUUGGUCAUAACCCGUUGUUAGAAAAAUGGUGGUUGUUGGUUGUUAUGUGGUAUCAUCUACAGUGGUUUAUUUAAACUUAGAUGGGUUAGGAUUGUUGAGUAAUGUUAGGAAGUGGACACGGAUUGAUUUUUUAUGUAUUGAAGCUAAUAGGAAUAGAAUAAUUAGUAGUAGGUUUGUGGAGGUAAGUUCUUGUUUGAUUUUAGCUCCAAGAUAGUGGUAAAUUAUCGUUUCAAAGGCAAGCUAGAGAAGAAAAAAAAGAUUGCAUAUGUAUGUGACUUUCUUUUGGAUUUAGUUCUAAAAGAUAAUACAUAGUUUGAAUAUAAUAACAAUUUAAAGUAAUUUGUAAUUGAAAAAAAAGUUUGGGAAAUAAAAGUAUCAAGUAAAGGUAGUUUAUAAGAUGACAUCACUAGUAGAACUAUAUAUAUAUAUAUACAUAUGAUGAGUUAAUGUGCAUGAAAAAAUCUAUAUAAAUGGGUAUAGCAUCACAUUUACAUGUGCAUAUAUGAUAUACUUUAUCCUAUGGUGUCAACUCUUAG
rnacentral:lncRNA from 1 species